UUUAAAACAUUAUAAAAAAGAAACAAUAAAAUAAUAACAGGUAUUUUAUGAAAACCUCUUCAUAUUAUUCUCACACUGCAGAGAACAAUGGAGAAUUGGUUAACUCAAGCAGGAUUUGCAUGAACUCGCAUCUUCGUGUUUCUAGGAUGUUGCUCAACCAAAUGAGCUAUCAUCACUAUUGUGUCAAUUGAAAUGGUAGUGAUCGAAACAUGCACAAAAUACCUUUGCGAUGGCUUAUUGCUUGUAUUGGACAAUUAUCACUUAUUUACUGAGACCGAGGGAAACAGUGUGUUUUGUGGACCCGAGACCGUCGAUGUUUCCCGAGGUGAAGCCGAGGGAAACAUCGACGGUCGAGGGUCCACAAAACACACUGCUUUCCUGAGGUCUCAGUAAAUAAGUGUUUUAUUAUAUAUCAAUAGUCAAAGAAACAACAAAUUAAAGAACAAAUGAACGUAAAUACAU